rnacentral:rRNA from 1 species
UACAGAGGGUGCGAGCGUUAAUCGGAAUUACUGGGCGUAAAGCGUGCGUAGACGGUUACGUAAGUCGGAUGUGAAAUCCCCGGGCUCAACCUGGGAAUUGCAUUCGAGACUGUGUAGCUGGGGUGCGGAAGAGGGAAGCGGAAUUUCCGGUGUAGCGGUGAAAUGCGUAGAUAUCUGGAAGAACACCAAUGGCGAAGGCAACCGCCUGGGCCUGAACUGACGCUGAGGCACGAAAGCGUGGGGAGCAAACAGG